AAUUCUAAGGAAAAAAGUCAAUUGUGAGAUUAAAUUCAGAAUUCUGAGGGGAAAAUAAUCUGAAAUUAAA